CCUUUACUAUAGCUUGACACUGAACAUUGAGCCUUGAUGUGUAGGAUAGGUGGGAGGCUUUGAAGUGUGGACGCCAGUCUGCAUGGAGCCGACCUUGAAAUACCACCCUUUAAUGUUUGAUGUUCUAACGUGGACCCGUAAUCCGGGUUGCGGACAGUGUCUGGUGGGUAGUUUGACUGGGGCGGUCUCCUCCUAAAGAGUAACGGAGGAGCACGAAGGUUGGCUAAUCCUGGUCGGACAUCAGGAGGUUAGUGCAAUGGCAUAAGCCAGCUUGACUGCGAGCGUGACGGCGCGAGCAGGUGCGAAAGCAGGUCAUAGUGAUCCGGUGGUUCUGAAUGGAAGGGCCAUCGCUCAACGGAUAAAAGGUACUCCGGGGAUAACAGGCUGAUACCGCCCAAGAGUUCAUAUCGACGGCGGUGUUUGGCACCUCGAUGUCGGCUCAUCACAUCCUGGGGCUGAAGUAGGUCCCAAGGGUAUGGCUGUUCGCCAUUUAAAGUGGUACGCGAGCUGGGUUUAGAACGUCGUGAGACAGUUCGGUCCCUAUCUGCCGUGGGCGCUGGAGAACUGAGGGGGGCUGCUCCUAGUACGAGAGGACCGGAGUGGACGCAUCACUGGUGUUCGGGUUGUCAUGCCAAUGGCACUGCCCGGUAGCUAAAUGCGGAAGAGAUAAGUGCUGAAAGCAUCUAAGCACGAAACUUGCCCCGA
rnacentral:rRNA from 3 species